rnacentral:misc_RNA from 1 species
AAGUCGUAACAAGGUUUCCGUAGGUGAACCUGCGGAAGGAUCAUUACCGAUUUUAGCGGACCUGAUCACUGAUCAUGGUCUCGCGAAAACUUGUAUUUAAAACCCCACUCUUAUAAAUUGAAUCAUUUAUACAAUGUAUAUAAUAAAUAAAGAUCACUUUCAACAACGGAUCUCUUGGCUCUC